rnacentral:rRNA from 1 species
AUUUCCUUCGGGACUGAUUAUUUUGUGACUGAGUGGCGGACGGGUGAGUAACGCGUGGGUAACCUGCCUUAUACAGGGGGAUAACAGUUAGAAAUGACUGCUAAUACCGCAUAAGCGCACAGGAUUGCAUGAUCUGGUGUGAAAAACUCCGGUGGUAUAAGAUGGACCCGCGUCUGAUUAGCUGGUUGGUGAGGUAACGGCCCACCAAGGCGACGAUCAGUAGCCGACCUGAGAGGGUGACCGGCCACAUUGGGACUGAGACACGGCCCAAACUCC